rnacentral:lncRNA from 1 species
UGUUCUUGGAAAAAUGAGAAAUCAGGCAUAUGUCUAAUCCGAGAUUAUGAUGCAGGGUUUAUUCACCCAAGGGAUAAUACCCAUUCAAAGAGAAGUACAUUAUGACACUGCAAUAAAGGCACCUGUUGCACCUAUUGUAGCACCUAGAAUGAGCAACGAAUCCUACUGGCAACCCAAAAAGAUGACCACCUCCAAGCCGCAAUAUUAGAAAGUAUAGGAAUCAGAUAUAGCGAAAUCCCAAAUGAACAUCCCAAAAGAGAAACAGGAAAAUCAAUUUUCACAAACAACCUAAAACAGCGAUUGUCAUAAAAAUAACAAUAGGUUAGUGCAAAAAGUGAACAAGAGACUUAGAGACAUAUAGGUCACCAUCUUCACAAACUGAUAAGAGUCACUAGAAGAUAUUAUGAAAAUUCCUGACUAACACAAAGAAAAAAUAAUUUGGAACACAAGGGACAACUCUGUACAAAUCAUGUUUCAUUCAAACUCAAAGAAAGUAGUCUUUAAACUUAUAAGGAAACACAAGCUAACAUAUACUCAUCGAUAGAACUGAAAUCAUAGGAUAUAGCUAUCCAUAUUCAAUGAAAGAAUAAUACGGAGAGGAUAGUCUAACCCAAUAAAGAAAAACCUGAUGACCAUAUGAAAAAGAAUUAAGGAUAUUGUAUUCCCAAACGGUACACAAAAUUCGACAGAGUAUAAAUGGUUCUAAAAAAGUAGCAAGAACACCCCCCUCACACUGGGAUUUUAAGAUGACAUUCAUGAUCAUGAUUCAGGAAUAUGUUCUAAAAGCCCACACCAAUCAUCAUAACUCUAUUUGGAAAAAGAAUUAUAUGAGGUACUAUAUGCUAUAUCCUCUCAAACAAAACACCUGAUCCCCCAUUAUGAUUCGAUGUGAAGAUUUAUUAUCCGUUAAUUAAGUUGCAAGAGCUAUGUAAGUACUUCAAAAUCUUACAUACAACCAUUAGGAGUUGUAUAUACUACUCAUUCUUCACAAUUUAGCUAUAGUCUAAUUAAUACAUUUUCCUCUCAAAAGCAAAUAGAAACCCUUGACACAAAUAAAAAAUAAUGUAGUUAAAGUAGUUAAAAAUUAACAAAUACAACCACCAUAUUGCAAAAAUAAAUAUAGCAAAUUUUAUACAGUACUUUAUAUUUGACUCUCGGAGGUGUACAUCAUUAUGUACGAGGGCUUUACGUAAGGCCAAGGCAUCCCAUUUAGUAAUCUGAUGAUUAACCUAAACAUACCUAUCUAAAACCAAGGAAGUCACAAAGGCAAAGUUGUAUACUCAAAUCCUAAGGCUAUGUUUGUUAACUAUUUAAUGUGUUUUAUGUUUUUAUUUUAUUUUUUAUAAAUGGAAAUAAAAAAACUUAUUGGUUGUAUUUAUAAAUGAAACAAAGGCAAAAAUUACGAACUACUAUUUUUUGAAAAUAAUGAAAACAAGAAAAGUUGUUUUCAUUUUGUUUACAAAAUUAGUUCAUCAAAAUUUUCCAACCACCACCAAUCCGCCGCACCUCCAUCAUCGCCACAUACCAGCCGCUUCCAGAACCACAUCCACAACCCCCCAACAUCCACCGCCAUCUCCUCCUCCACCACCACCACACUUCCCUCAUCCACCUCCACCCCCACCUCUCCCUCCCCCAAUACCGCCACACCACACCACCACCAACUCCACGCCGCCUCCCACCUCCACCUUUUUUUAAAAUAGUUUAAAAAAAAAAAAAAACAAAAGGGCAGCACAAACUAUUUUUAUUUGAAAUAGUUUAAAAAAGGUGAAUAGAACUUAUUUUUAGUUCUGUUUUACAAAAAAUAAAACAAAACAAAAACAAAAUAAAAACCAACACAAAAAAUAGAAAAAUAAAAAACGUACCAAAACAUACCCUAAGUAAUAAAGUUAAAAAUAGUCAACUUACUUGCAAUUAAAGGCAAACAUAUGUAUUUUGUAUAUUUAACCUACUUAUAUGUGCUGAUCAAGGACAAAUAGGACGGGGUUAGUUGCAAAACCUAACAAAAGAGAACAUGGAUAAUGCUCACCGGCCAAGUAGCGUAGCCUCAGGAAGAUAAAAUAUACAAAAAAUCUAAUGCAUUGUGUCCAUACCUUAGUAUAGAUGCGGGUCAACUCUAGGCUAGUCAUAAUUGCUAUAGAAAAAAACAAUCUACAUUAAUUUGUAGUUAUUCUUGCCUGCUAGCAUAUUUGUCUUUAUUAUAUUGUGAAAAACCGUUGCCUCAUUUGGAGGGAGCUACCACCCACCAACUCAGGCAAAAUCACCAAAUUUAGGUAGAAGAAGAGCUUCAGUGUGCUGUGGGAUGGUUCAGGAAGACAAUCGUGUGGAGGGCAAAUGGGUAUUUUAUCCAACAUUGAUUAAGGACAUACCAGAGAUACUAUGGAAGAAUGAUCAGUUUUGGAUGCUUUCUUCCAGCAACACAAACACUACCCUGCAUAGAAAACAAAACAAACAAAAUGAGGCCUGAGUACCUGUUAUCUAUUUUCCCACCAUUAGAAUUUUU